rnacentral:rRNA from 2 species
UGUCUUUAUGGCAAAUGUGAGAUGCAGUGUAUGGAAUGUCAAAUUUCUAGUAUGAGAAAUUAACGAUUUAAGUCCUUCUUAAAUGAGGCCAUUUACCCAAAGAGGGUGCCAGGCCCGUAUAACGUUAAUGAUUACUAGAUGACAUUUCCAAAGAGUCGUGUUGCUUGAUAGUGCAGCACUAAGUGGGUGGUAAACUCCAUCUAAAACUAAAUAUAACCAUGAGACCGAUAGUAAACAAGUACCGUGAGGGAAAGUUGAAAAGAACUCUGAAUAGAGAGUUAAAUAGUACGUGAAACUGCUUAGAGGUUAAGCCCGAUGAACCUGAAUAUCCAUUAUGGAAAAUUCAUCAUUAUGAUUUUAAUAUUUAUAAUAUUAAAAGAAUGGUGUGCAUUUUUUCCAUAUAAGGACAUUGUAAUCUAUUAACAAACAGAUUUAUUAUAAGAUCAUUGCUUUAGUUUAUUCAAAUUAUUUUGCUUGCGAUUUAACAUAGAAUAAAUGCUUUUGAUUUGAUAAAGUGUUGAUAGAUUCAUUAUAUAUAGUGCUUGAAUAUAUUUAUAUAUUCUAUAAUAGCGUAUUGAUCAAUGAUUUUUAUGUUCAUUAUAUGCACUUAUAUGAUUAACAAUGCGAAAGAUUCAGGAUACCUUCGGGACCCGUCUUGAAACACGGACCAAGGAGUCUAACAUAUUUGCAAGUUAUUGGGAAUUAAAAACCUAAUAGCGAAAUUAACAUAACUUAUAUAAUGGGAUUAGUUUUUAGGUCUAUUUAUAGUCUAUUAAUUCAAUCCCGGGGCGUUCUAUACAGUUAUGUAUAAUAGUAUUUAUAUUAUUUAUACCUCUAACUAGAGCGUACCUUGAGCAUAUAUGCUGUGACCCGAAAGAUGGUGAACUAUACUUGAUCAGGUUGAAGUCAGGGGAAACCCUGAUGGAAGACCGAAACAGUUCUGACGUGCAAAUCGAUUGUCAGAAUUGAGU